rnacentral:rRNA from 1 species
UACGAAGGGGGCUAGCGUUGCUCGGAAUCACUGGGCGUAAAGCGCACGUAGGCGGACUCUUAAGUCGGUGGUGAAAUCCUGGAGCUCAACUCCAGAACUGCCUUCGAUACUGGAGAGUCUUGAGUCCGGGAGAGGUGAGUGGAACUGCGAGUGUAGAGGUGAAAUUCGUAGAUAUUCGCAAGAACACCAGUGGCGAAGGCGGCUCACUGGCCCGGUACUGACGCUGAGGUGCGAAAGCGUGGGGAGCAAACAGG